rnacentral:rRNA from 1 species
CGGCGGACGGGUGAGUAACGCGUGGGUAACCUGCCUCAUACAGGGGGAUAACAGUUAGAAAUGACUGCUAAUACCGCAUAAGACCACGGUACCGCAUGGUACAGUGGGAAAAACUCCGGUGGUAUGAGAUGGACCCGCGUCUGAUUAGCUAGUUGGUAAGGUAACGGCUUACCAAGGCGACGAUCAGUAGCCGACCUGAGAGGGUGACCGGCCACAUUGGGACUGAGACACGGCCCAAACUCCUACGGGAGGCAGCAUG